rnacentral:rRNA from 1 species
AUUGAACGCUGGCGGCAGGCCUAACACAUGCAAGUCGAGCGGAUGAAGGGAGCUUGCUCCUGGAUUCAGCGGCGGACGGGUGAGUAAUGUCUAGGAAUCUGCCUGGUAGUGGGGGAUAACGUCAGGAAACGGGCGCUAAUACCGCAUACGUCCUGAGGGAGAAAGUGGGGGAUCUUCGGACCUCACGCUAUCAGAUGAGCCUAGGUCGGAUUAGCUAGUUGGUGGGGUAAAGGCCUACCAAGGCGACGAUCCGUAACUGGUCUGAGAGGAUGAUCAGUCACACUGCAACUGAGACACGGUCCAGACUCGUACAGGAGGCAGCAGUGGGGAAUAUUGGACAAUGGACUAAAGCCUGAUCCAGCCCUGCCGCGUGUGUGGAAAAAGGCUUCGGAUUGUAAAGCACUUUAGGUUGGGAGGAAGGGCAGUAAGUUAAUACCGUGCUGUUUUGACGUUACCAACAGAAUAAGCACCGGCUAACUUCGUG